GCCAGACUCCUACGGGAGGCAGCAGUGGGGAAUAUUGCACAAUGGGGAAACCCUGAUGCAGCGACGCCGCGUGAGUGAAGAAGUAUUUCGGUAUGUAAAGCUCUAUCAGCAGGGAAGAUAAUGACGGUACCUGAGUAAGAAGCCCCGGCUAACUACGUGCCAGCAGCCGCGGUAAUACGUAGGGGGCAAGCGUUAUCCGGAUUUACUGGGUGUAAAGGGAGCGUAGACGGCAUGGCAAGUCUGAAGUGAAAGCCCGGGGCUCAACCGCGGGACUGCUUUGGAAACUGUUAAGCUGGAGUGCAGGAGAGGUAAGUGGAAUUCCUAGUGUAGCGGUGAAAUGCGUAGAUAUUAGGAGGAACACCAGUGGCGAAGGCGGCUUACUGGACUGUAACUGACGUUGAGGCUCGAAAGCGUGGGGAGCAAACAGGAUUAGAUACCCCUGUAGU
rnacentral:rRNA from 1 species